UUACAAUUAUUUAUGCAAUCUGCAAUUUACAUAUAGAAUUUAUUUAUCACCCAGUAUAUGUCAUUUAUCACCCAGUAUAUGUCAGAGUAUCAAACCCUAACAAAUAUAAAAACUAGAUUUCAAAUUUCCAUUUGGGAGUAAACUUGUCAUGUUUAAAAUAGCCACAUUACCAGCUAAACAAAAAAAAUCCUGGAGAAACAAAUGGAAUAGAAUACCCCUUUUGAACAAAAUUGAUCAUAAAUGAAAAUAUCACAUCCAUAUUCUCUGAGCAUCUUAAUUUAAGACUAAAAAAUACCAAUUUUUGGUCUAAUCUAUUGAAAUUGACUACUAGGAGCUGAAAUAUCUGGACACAAAAUUGGACUCUUGAUAUUUUUUUAAUUAGCUGUGACUUAGGAGGACUCAGCAAGAUUCUGCCCAUUUCUUGGCAUUUGGUGACCUGAAUAUCCCCUCUCUUGGCGUGGGUUCGGUCGAUAGUAACCAUUUCCUCUUGGUUUGUUGUACUCGCGAUCACCACCAUCUUGACCAUUUCCUCUGCCAUAGCUUCUUGAAUUGAAACGCCCUCUUGGUGCAUCUGAUUGAUAGCUACCCCUGCCUCUACCCCGUCCAUCAAUAAAAACAGUUAUUUGAAGAUGAAAUUAUUAAGAGACAUUAACCUUGCGACUUCUUAUAACAACACCAUCAGGCCUGAUUCUACCAAAAUUCUUGAACUCCUCUUCAAUUUCAGAAGGAGACACUGUAGGCGUCAGGUUUCUAACAUAAACGGAUUUAAUUUCAUCUGAAAUCAUAGCAAAAAAAAUAUUAGAUUUAUACCCAACAAAAAUUAUAUGCAUAUUAUGUAAUGGGCAGUGAAAACGUGCUCACUGCCAGAAAGCAGCUAUAAAUAAUAAAUGGAGGAAUAUGAUAAUUAAUCAAUUCUAUAAAACAAAAAGUACACAGUAACCUUCAUAUUCUGCUGCAGGAAGCUCUUCCACUGCAUCUGGUUCAGACCUUUCAAAUGCAUUUGCCGAUGCGGUUGAUUGCUGAUUACUGCUAGGUGGAAUGUAGUCCCAUUCUGAAGGGGAAACGUUCUUAUGAGAGGGCUGAGAAGCCACAGGUGUAGAUUGUCCUUUCGCAACACGUAACUGCCAACAACAGUCCAUAACAAGGUCAGUUCCAAUGUCAUAACUAAAUCCCAAAAGAAAACAUUGUUUGGAUAUUAAUAUAAUGGUUAAUCAGAACAUACAAUGGAGGCAUAAGUGUGCUUUUGUGGCUCCCCAGCAGGUUCUUCAGGAGAAGCAGGUAGGUGAUCUUGCACGGCAUUCCCUGAAGAAUGAAGUGAGCCAUUUGAGUCCUCAGCAGCAUUGUCCUCCCUAAUAUGUUCAGAAUCAGGGCCUCGCUGAAUGCGUUGCUCUGAAUAUCCAUAAUUGUCGGCUACACCAUUUUCUUUGACCUCAUUUGUCCUCCCUACUAUCCUAGCCUGGAUAUCUCCACUCGGCAUAUAGUUGGAUACUGCAAAAUCCAUGGCUCUCAAUCACUUACAAGUAGAAACAUCACAGUUUCAAGAAUAAGUGAUAUUACAUAAACAGCCACAUUGGUUAUUUAUCUAAAUUUUUCUAGGACAGUUUGAUUUUUUUUUAAAAAGAUUUAAACAUUUAUGCUUGAUGAUAAAAUGUGGUUAGUGAUCAAGCUUCCCUGACAACUUCCACCUUUACACUUUUAAACUUUUAAGGAAAAACUAUAGCCAACAACUUGCAACAACAAUCUGCAUAUAUAUCAGGAUAAGGUUAAGCUUGCAACUGAUUAAUUUAAAGUCACAAACCAAAUGUAUGAUCUUAUAAUUCAAUGUCAGAGACUAAAAUCUAUGCUUCGGUUUGUUAACAGAAAGGAUGCAGUUUUUCCAACAAAGUUGAAGGAACUGAUGGUUUUGAAGUGUUGUUGACAGGAUAACAGUGUAUGAUACCAGUUUACAAUUGAUAACAAUGUAGCAAACAAAGUUAGUGAAAGUGAUAAACUAAUAAAUAUAGUACCUGUAAACAGUUCAAAAGAAGGGGAAAAGGGAAAAAAAAGGGAGUGCCAAUAGCAGUGGAUGUAAAAAAAAUAGCUUGAGAUGUAAAAGGGAAAAAAGCUCAUAAACAUGACAAAGAUUUCUGUCUAAAAGAACAAAUGAACUAGAGAUACAGAGAAUAGAAAAACAACAAAAGAACAUGGGACUAACAGUCUAACAUAGACUCUAAACUUGACCGGAUCCAUAAUUAUCAUAAACUGAUAAAAGAAUGGGUAACACCCAUGGAGAGAUUCAAAGUCAUAAUGACCACUGAACUUUAACAAGGGGAAACAAAGUUGUGCAUUUUCUAUACUACUUAAUUGCAAUAAGUGAUACUUUUUCAAUUCAGGUAAGUACAAGCUAGCUCAGACUUUACCUGGCAUAUUAAUUGUACUUGGAACAUUCAGUUUUGAAUCGAGAUUGCUCUGAGCUAACAAGACUGCCUGGUGGUGAUGGUGGUGAAUUAAAUCAUCUUCAACGAAGUGAAAAAUAUCAUUUAGCACAAAAAAGCCUUUUUCUUGGGGUGCAAGGAAGAAUGUCUGCAUAAAUUUCCUCCUCAGGUUGUCCUUAAUUUGCACAGAUCCAGAAACCAUCACAAUAGCGCCACCACUCCAAGACUCCAAAGAGUGUGCGGUCUUGAUUUCAAUUCCAGUGUAACUGAGUGACAUAACCAAUGUGUGGAUUUGCUGCACAGAGACAAGUUUUCUCAGUUUCGAGUGAAAUGGGGAUAUGUAAUUUACUAUUGUUGAAUGUGCAUAAACAAUUGAAGACAACGCCAAGUACCUUCAAACAAUUAAAGACCUAAUCAAAAGUAUUAAAUAGAGAACAGCAAUAUGAAACUACUUCACCAAGUUGCACAUUAUUCAAAAAGUAAACAACAACAUCAAUAACCAAGUCUUGUCCCACUAAGUGAGGUAAAAGGCUACAUGGAUCAAACGCUGACAUAAUGCUCUAUCAUAUACCAUAUUCCUAUCCAACUCAAUAAUCGCUGGAUCUUUCUUAAUAGUUUUUCUAGGUCUUCCUCUGCC
rnacentral:lncRNA from 1 species